rnacentral:rRNA from 1 species
CUCCUGGUCGCUGCAGUGAGGAAUAUUGCACAAUGGGGGGAACCCUGAUGCAGCAACGCCGCGUGGAGGAUGACGCAUUUCGGUGUGUAAACUCCUUUUAUAUGUCAAGAAAAUGACGGUAGCAUAUGAAUAAGCACCGGCUAACUCCGUGCCAGCAGCCGCGGUAAUACGGAGGGUGCAAGCGUUACUCGGAAUCACUGGGCGUAAAGGACGCGUAGGCGGGUUGGAAAGUCAGGUGUGAAAUCCUACAGCUUAACUGUAGAACUGCACUUGAAACUUCUAAUCUAGAGUAUGGGAGGGGGAGAUGGAAUUAGUGGUGUAGGGGUAAAAUCCGUAGAUAUCACUAGGAAUACCUAAAGCGAAGGCGAUCUCCUGGAACAUUACUGACGCUAAGGCGUGAAAGCGUGGGGAGCAAACAGGAUUAGAUACCCGGGUAGUC